rnacentral:rRNA from 1 species
UUAACACUUGAGAGUUUGAUCCUGGCUCAGAUUGAACGCUGGCGGCAUGCCUUACACAUGCAAGUCGAACGGUAACAGGUCUUCGGAUGCUGACGAGUGGCGAACGGGUGAGUAAUACAUCGGAACGUGCCCGAGAGUGGGGGAUAACGGAGCGAAAGCUUUGCUAAUACCGCAUACGAUCUCAGGAUGAAAGCAGGGGACCGCGAGGCCUUGCGCUCACGGAGCGGCCGAUGGCAGAUUAGGUAGUUGGUGGGAUAAAAGCUUACCAAGCCGACGAUCUGUAGCUGGUCUGAGAGGACGACCAGCCACACUGGGACUGAGACACGGCCCAGACUCCUACGGGAGGCAGCAGUGGGGAAUUUUGGACAAUGGGCGCAAGCCUGAUCCAGCCAUGCCGCGUGCAGGAUGAAGGCCUUCGGGUUGUAAACUGCUUUUGUACGGAACGAAAAGACUCCUUCUAAUAAAGGGGGUCCAUGACGGUACCGUAAGAAUAAGCACCGGCUAACUACGUGCCAGCAGCCGCGGUAAUACGUAGGGUGCAAGCGUUAAUCGGAUUUACUGGGCGUAAAGCGUGCGUAGGCGGCUUUUUAAGUCGGAUGUGAAAUCCCUGAGCUUAACUUAGGAAUUGCAUUCGAUACUGGGAAGCUAGAGUAUGGGAGAGGAUGGUAGAAUUCCAGGUGUAGCGGUGAAAUGCGUAGAGAUCUGGAGGAAUACCGAUGGCGAAGGCAGCCAUCUGGCCUAAUACUGACGCUGAGGUACGAAAGCAUGGGGAGCAAACAGGAUUAGAUACCCUGGUAGUCCAUGCCGUAAACGAUGUCUACUAGCCGUUGGGGCCUUUGAGGCUUUAGUGGCGCAGCUAACGCGAUAAGUAGACCGCCUGGGGAGUACGGUCGCAAGACUAAAACUCAAAUGAAUUGACGGGGGCCCGCACAAGCGGUGGAGUAUGUGGUUUAAUUCGACGCAACGCGAAAAACCUUACCUACCCUUGACAUGCCAGGAACUUACCAGAGAUGGUUUGGUGCUCGAAAGAGAGCCUGGACACAGGUGCUGCAUGGCUGUCGUCAGCUCGUGUCGUGAGAUGUUGGGUUAAGUCCCGCAACGAGCGCAACCCUUGUCCUUAGUUACCAGCACGUAAUGGUGGGCACUCUAAGGAGACUGCCGGUGACAAACCGGAGGAAGGUGGGGAUGACGUCAAGUCAUCAUGGCCCUUACGGCCUGGGCUACACACGUGCUACAAUGGUCGGUACAGAGGGUUGCCAAGCCGCGAGGUGGAGCUAAUCCCAGAAAACCGAUCGUAGUCCGGAUCGCAGUCUGCAACUCGACUGCGUGAAGUCGGAAUCGCUAGUAAUCGCGAAUCAGAAUGUCGCGGUGAAUACGUUCCCGGGCCUUGUACACACCGCCCGUCACACCAUGGGAGUGGGUUGCACCAGAAGUAGCUAGUCUAACCUUCGGGAGGACGGUUACCACGGUGUGAUUCAUGACUGGGGUGAAGUCGUAACAAGGUAACC